rnacentral:rRNA from 1 species
AUUGAACGCUGGCGGCAUGCUUUACACAUGCAAGUCGAACGGCAGCGCGGGCUUCGGCCUGGCGGCGAGUGGCGAACGGGUGAGUAAUACAUCGGAACGUGCCCAGUAGUGGGGGAUAGCUCGGCGAAAGCCGGAUUAAUACCGCAUACGACCUGAGGGUGAAAGCGGGGGAUCUUCGGACCUCGCGCUAUUGGAGCGGCCGAUGGCAGAUUAGCUAGUUGGUGGGGUAAAGGCCUACCAAGGCGACGAUCUGUAGCUGGUCUGAGAGGACGACCAGCCACACUGGGACUGAGACACGGCCCAGACUCCUACGGGAGGCAGCAGUGGGGAAUUUUGGACAAUGGGCGAAAGCCUGAUCCAGCAAUGCCGCGUGUGUGAUGAGGGCCUUCGGGUUGUAAAGCACUUUUGGCGGGAACGAAAAGGACUGUGCUAAUACCACGGUUCGAUGACGGUACCCGCAGAAUAAGCACCGGCUAACUACGUG